AUUGAACGCUGGCGGCAUGCUUUACACAUGCAAGUCGAACGGCAGCACGGACUUCGGUCUGGUGGCGAGUGGCGAACGGGUGAGUAAUACAUCGGAACGUGCCCAGUAGUGGGGGAUAGCCCGGCGAAAGCCGGAUUAAUACCGCAUGAGACCUGAGGGUGAAAGCGGGGGAUCGCAAGACCUCGCGCUAUUGGAGCAGCCGAUGUCAGAUUAGCUAGUUGGUAGGGUAAAGGCCUACCAAGGCAACGAUCUGUAGUUGGUCUGAGAGGACGACCAGCCACACUGGGACUGAGACACGGCCCAGACUCCUACGGGAGGCAGCAGUGGGGAAUUUUGGACAAUGGGCGCAAGCCUGAUCCAGCAAUGCCGCGUGCAGGAAGAAGGCCUUCGGGUUGUAAACUGCUUUUGUCAGGGAAGAAAUCUUCUGGGCUAAUACCCUGGGAGGAUGACGGUACCUGAAGAAUAAGCACCGGCUAACUACGUGCCAGCCGCCGCUGUAACAC
rnacentral:rRNA from 1 species